rnacentral:lncRNA from 1 species
ACAUGCCCAAUCCAAGCCAUAUUUAACAAAGUAAUUAACUAAACCUAAUAUGCAUGCACUAGCCUUGGUAACCCUCGUAGGAGGUGAGAAGAUGCAAUGGUGGUUAUGGAACAAUAGCUCGGUCACGCAGCGGCUACGGUUUGAGCUUUCACGAGUCCAACAACUUAAACCUAGCUUNUUCUCGAGCUCGCGAACCUCCUCACCUUAUCACUCCCAAAGAGCCUUCGUCGUCGUGAUUGACAUCACCGAAUCACAUUUUGCGACUUCAUUUGUCCUCGUUACAAGCUUUUCCACCGAUUACAUCCUCAUUUUGGCACUGUUUCACUGAUGUAGUCGUUGAAUCGUCCUUUUCCACCGAACACACGACCUAAAUCACAUUUCUCACCGAACAAUCUUCCUAUUUUUCACUCCGCUUCGAAUCUUUUCCUCUCCCGGAGUAUCAUCGCGAACCUAGGGUUUUCUAGGCGUGUUCCUCCUCUUUCGAGUUCUCUUGCUAAGGCCCUUCAUCGAAUCCGGUUGUGGUCUCACUGUUAACUCGUGGAGGAAGCUUCAAGAAGUCCAAGGAGCCUCUUCCAUAAAGAGGGUUCUUCGUUGAGAGCAGAGGAAACUAUGUUCUGGAAUAAGACGGUAUCCUAAUACAAAUACCACAUUAUUUUUUUUUUUUAAUAAAAUUUCUCCAGAUCCGUAUGUAGUUUGAGGUGAUUCUUUGCUUUUGUCAACUUUCCUAGCUUCAUUCCACUACUUUAGACAUGUUAAGAUGUUCACAUUACUUAAACUAAGUGUACCUUAGGUGAAUUGNCAAUUUGUCACCCUUUAAGUGAACUUUUUAGUUUGAAACUACUCAAACUUUGACUUUUAGGUAUUUGUUUGCUUUUGAGUAGUUUCCUACCUUCACUUGAAUACUUUAGACUUAUUAGGAUAUUAACAUGAGUUAAAAUU